rnacentral:rRNA from 1 species
UACGUAGGGACCAAGCGUUGUUCGGAUUUACUGGGCGUAAAGGGCGCGUAGGCGGCAAUUCAAGUCAUCUGUGAAAUCUCCGGGCUUAACCCGGAACGGUCAGAUGAUACUGCUUUGCUAGAGUGCGGGAAGGGCAAUCGGAAUUCUUGGUGUAGCGGUGAAAUGCGUAGAUAUCAAGAGGAACACCUGAGGUGAAGACGGGUUGCUGGGCCGACACUGACGCUGAUAGCGGCGAAAGCCAGGGGAGCAAACGGG